GGAGCGGUACUCAAGUGGCUGAAGAGGACGGUUUGCUAAAUCGUUAGACGGUUUAUCCCGUGCGGGGGUUCGAAUCCCCCCCGCUCCG
rnacentral:tRNA from 1 species